AAAGCAGGCCAAGAAAACAAAUUUCUCGCCUUCGAGAACAAAAUGACGUCAAUUCUGCUUAUAACGGACAUGGCUUCACAUUAUUUUUUCUUCCGCCGAAAGUGUUCCCACCACAUACAGAUGGUGCUAAGCCUCAUGAACCGCCGAUGGACCGCCACGUUUUGAACGUAUGGGCUCCUAUGGAAGCUUUGCUACCAGGUAUAUUUACCUUGCGUCAUGCGCCAGACAAGCUGCAGGAGUGAGCGAGGCCGGCUGCGCAUGUGAAGCUCGCGUGCUCGGCGACCCGUCUUUUUUGGAUGUAGCCUGUUUUUUAGGCUCCCGGCGUUCUUUCGUGUUCCGUCUGCAUUUCGGCACGGCACAGCUGCACUACUGGACUACAACAAGCUGAUGGCAUCCGGUGGAGCUUCGUACGGCAACGACUGCUGCUUACCUGGUGCCACAACUUUGGAUGAAUGCAGAAGCGCGGACCAAGCAUUUAUAUAGAGGAAAAUAAACAUUUCAUCAUUUCAGAA
rnacentral:lncRNA from 1 species